rnacentral:rRNA from 1 species
GAUGAACGCUGGCGGCGUGCCUAAUACAUGCAAGUCGAGCGAACGGACGAGAAGCUUGCUUCUCUGAUGUUAGCGGCGGACGGGUGAGUAACACGUGGAUAACCUACCUAUAAGACUGGGAUAACUUCGGGAAACCGGAGCUAAUACCGGAUAAUAUUUUGAACCGCAUGGUUCAAAAGUGAAAGACGGUCUUGCUGUCACUUAUAGAUGGAUCCGCGCUGCAUUAGCUAGUUGGUAAGGUAACGGCUUACCAAGGCAACGAUGCAUAGCCGACCUGAGAGGGUGAUCGGCCACACUGGAACUGAGACACGGUCCAGACUCCUACGGGAGGCAGCAAUAGGGAAUCUUCCGCAAUGGGCGAAAGCCUGACGGAGCAACGCCGCGUGAGUGAUGAAGGUCUUCGGAUCGUAAAACUCUGUUAUUAGGGAAGAACAUAUGUGUAAGUAACUGUGCACAUCUUGACGGUACCUAAUCAGAAAGCCACGGCUAACUACGUG